rnacentral:rRNA from 1 species
GGGUGAUGGCCUACCAAGGCGACGACGGGUAGCCGGCCUGAGAGGGUGUCCGGCCACACUGGGACUGAGAUACGGCCCAGACUCCUACGGGAGGCAGCAGUGGGGAAUAUUGCACAAUGGGCGCAAGCCUGAUGCAGCGACGCCGCGUGGGGGAUGACGGCCUUCGGGUUGUAAACCUCUUUCACCAUCGGCGAAGCCGGGGGCUUUUGUUUCCGGUGACGGUAGGUGGAGAAGAAGCACCGGCCAACUACGUGCCAGCAGCCGCGGUAAUACGUAGGGUGCGAGCGUUGUCCGGAAUUACUGGGCGUAAAGAGCUCGUAGGUGGUUUGUCGCGUUGUCCGUGAAAUUCCCUGGCUUAACUGGGGGCGUGCGGGCGAUACGGGCAGACUGGAGUACUGCAGGGGAGACUGGAAUUCCUGGUGUAGCGGUGGAAUGCGCAGAUAUCAGGAGGAACACCGGUGGCGAAGGCGGGUCUCUGGGCAGUAACUGACGCUGAGGAGCGAAAGCGUGGGGAGCGAACAGGAUUAGAUACCCUGGUAGUCCACGCCGUAAACGGUGGGUACUAGGUGUGGGUUUCCUUCCUUGGGAUCCGUGCCGUAGCUGACGCAU